ACAGUUUGCGGGGUCCAACUGAUACGGUGAUACCCACACGUAGUUACAACUUGAUUGGCCUGUGCACUGCACGCUCUACAUACUCACGUGACCCACAGCACCCUCAUCAUCAUCGUCAUCAUUUUCUCCGUCUUAUGAAACCCAGAACUCCUCGCUCAAGUCGCUCGCUCCCUCUCUUUUUCUUAAUAAUUACCCUCCCUCCUCCAUAUUCCCUCGGUUUCCAUCCCUUAGGGUUUGUUUUUUUUUUUUUUUUCUCGCCCCAUAAAUCUCCAGAGAACAAGAAAGGAAAAAAGAAAAAAUAAUAAGAAAUGAGUAACGACAACUUCGACGUGUCAGAUUUGGGCUCCGCCCUCCCCGCCGUCGCUGCCGCUCUUAGUGAGGAGGAUCGAGCUGGUCUGAUUAACAAUUCUGCUGCAGGUACCCGCCGUUGGGUAGUUUUGGGGAAUCGGCUGACGUUGCCGAUAUUAUUUAAAAAAAAAAAAAAAAAAAUCGAUUUCAGACAUUGUUUGCAUCUCAGCUAACCCAUAUGCGCCACUGCGCAAAAGAAACUGCGAGAACUUGUCGUCUUCGUGCUGUCGACUGAGCAUUGGCCAUCAACUUGAUCCUCUUUGUGUCGUCGAACUCAUCUGAGCAUUGGCCAUCAACUUGUUGUCUUCGUGCCGUCGAAACUGCGCCAGAAGAAACUACGAGAACUUGUCGACUGAGCAUUGGCCGUUGACUGAGAGGAAAUUGCACCGAGUAGCAUGUUUCUGAGAAAAAGAAGAGAGAAGAUAAAAUA